rnacentral:rRNA from 1 species
AGUGAACGCUGGCGGUAGGCCUAACACAUGCAAGUCGAACGGCAGCACAGGAGAACUUGCUCUCUGGGUGGCGAGUGGCGGACGGGUGAGGAAUACAUCGGAAUCUACUCUGUCGUGGGGGAUAACGUAGGGAAACUUACGCUAAUACCGCAUACGACCUACGGGUGAAAGCAGGGGAUCUUCGGACCUUGCGCGAUUGAAUGAGCCGAUGUCGGAUUAGCUAGUUGGCGGGGUAAAGGCCCACCAAGGCGACGAUCCGUAGCUGGUCUGAGAGGAUGAUCAGCCACACUGGAACUGAGACACGGUCCAGACUCCUACGGGUGGCAGCAGUGGGGAAUAUUGGACAAUGGGCGCAAGCCUGAUCCAGCCAUACCGCGUGGGUGAAGAAGGCCUUCGGGUUGUAAAGCCCUUUUGUUGGGAAAGAAAUCCAGCUGGCUAAUACCCGGUUGGGAUGACGGUACCCAAAGAAUAAGCACCGGCUAACUUCGUGCCAGCCGCCGCGGUAA